AGAGUUUGAUCCUGGCUCAGAUUGAACGCUGGCGGAAUGCUUUACACAUGCAAGUCGAACGGUAGAGGGGGCAACCCCUUGAGAGUGGCGAACGGGUGAGUAAUGUAUCGGAACGUGCCCAGUCGUGGGGGAUAACGUAGUGAAAAUUACGCUAAUACCGCAUACGAUCUAUGGAUGAAAGCGGGGGAUCGCAAGACCUCGCGCGAUUGGAGCGGCCGAUAUCAGAUUAGGUAGUUGGUAGGGUAAAGGCCUACCAAGCCAACGAUCUGUAGCUGGUCUGAGAGGACGACCAGCCACACUGGAACUGAGACACGGUCCAGACUCCUACGGGAGGCAGCAGUGGGGAAUUUUGGACAAUGGGCGAAAGCCUGAUCCAGCUAUUCCGCGUGCAGGAUGAAGGCCCUCGGGUUGUAAACUGCUUUUGUACAGAACGAAAAGGUUUCUAUUAAUACUAGGAGCUCAUGACGGUACUGUAAGAAUAAGCACCGGCUAACUACGUGCCAGCAGCCGCGGUAAUACGUAGGGUGCAAGCGUUAAUCGGAAUUACUGGGCGUAAAGCGUGCGCAGGCGGUUAUAUAAGUCAGAUGUGAAAUCCCCGGGCUCAACCUGGGAACUGCAUUUGAGACUGUAUAGCUAGAGUACGGUAGAGGGGGAUGGAAUUCCGCGUGUAGCAGUGAAAUGCGUA
rnacentral:rRNA from 1 species